UGUGCCAGCACCAAGGGUGCACUGUCAGACGGGACGUGCAAGACUCCCACUUCAGAGGCCCACCGUCCCAGAGGAGUUGGCCCAGAGAGAAUCUGCAACUGUCCAAAAGGAUGCUGCUGCUGCUGUUGCUUCAGAACCUGAGAUUCCUCAGAACUACGAUGCUGCAGCAUCAAAUUUUAACAGCUUAGAAG
rnacentral:lncRNA from 1 species